rnacentral:lncRNA from 1 species
UGAACACUGUAGGAGCCCAGGAAGUCGGUUCUGAGUGUUGAAUGGGUGACAUAUAUCUGGGACCAAGUACUGUGAGUCAGGGCUGAAGACUGUUUUCACAGAUGCCAUCGGGACACAGUCACUCAUUCUUGACCUUCUGAUACCUCCAUCAUGCUAAGAAGACGCUGGCAUGGCUGGAGGAUUCCUAUAAUUUAAAACUGUGAUUUUUACCAUCUCCUCACUCUCCACAGAGGUCAAGAGGCUAGAUAAACAACUUCCUACAGCUGCUACGACAUCGGGUGCGCAUCCGCAGCAGAAAGUGUGUGCCGUGGAGAUAAACACAUCAGUUUUUAUGAUGCUGCCAGAAGUCUUCUCCCAUUUGCCUCAACUCAGUCUUCAGGGAAUCCCUCACUGCUCUCUGAAAGAUCUGGGAGAAUUGGAUGUAGAGUCCAGCCUGCCAUGAGUGUCCUACCAAGAGUGCUGAUGAACAAAUGAAGGAGUGCAUUAAGGCGCCCUGAAAGCAAGCUGUGAGAAGAGAUUGGGGUUUAUCAGCCUUUUAGCCAGGUUUCCUCUGGAAAGAACGCUUGCACACGCAAGUUCUGUCUGCACGUCCAUGCCCACCCUAGCGUCCCUCCCUGCUUGCUCCCCUUGAUAACUGUGAAUGCC